rnacentral:rRNA from 1 species
CCUACGGGAGGCAGCAGUGGGGAAUAUUGCGCAAUGGGGGGAACCCUGACGCAGCGACGCCGCGUGCGGGAUGGAGGCCUUCGGGUUGUGAACCGCUUUUGUUGGGGAAGCAAGCGAGAGUGAGUGUACCCCUUUCGAAUAAGGACCGGCUUAACUACGUGCC